rnacentral:rRNA from 1 species
GAUCAUGGCUCAGAAUGAACGUUGGCGGCGUGGAUUAGGCAUGCAAGUCGUACGCAUAGCUUCGGCUAUGAGUGGCGCAAGGGUGAGUAAUGCGAAGGUAACCAACCCUGGUGUUGGGCAUAGCCGCGGGAAACUGCGGGUAAUUCCCAGCGACGUCACGAGAUGGCAUCAUCUUGUGACCAAAGGUGUGAUUCCGCUCUAGGACGGGCCUUCGUGGUAUUAGGUAGUUGGUGAGGUAACGGCUCACCAAGCCGACGAUGCCUACCGGGUGUGAGGGCAUGACCCGGCACACUGGAACUGAGACACUGUCCAGACACCUACGGGUGGCUGCAGUCGAGAAUCUUCGGCAAUGGGCGAAAGCCUGACCGAGCGACGCCGCGUGAGGGAUUGAAGGCCUUCGGGUUGUAAACCUCUUUCGUAGAGGAGGAAGGGGCCGUGAAGAACGGUCUUUGACCUAUUCUAGGAAGAAGCUUGGGCUAAGUUCGUG